GGCGAGCGGCGAACGGGUGAGUAACGCGAGGGAACCUACCCUCUGGGGGGGGAUAACCCGGGGAAACCCGGGCUAAUACCGCAUGAGCCCUACGGGGGAAAGCUGGGGAUCCCGGCCACGGGACCUGGCGCCAGAGGAUGGGCCCGCGUCCUAUCAGCUUGUUGGUGGGGUAACGGCCUACCAAGGCGAUGACGGGUAGCUGGCCUGAGAGGGUGGCCAGCCACACUGGAACUGAGACACGGCCCAGACUCCUACGGGAGGCAGCAGUCGGGAAUAUUGGGCAAUGGGCGAAAGCCUGACCCAGCCAUGCCGCGUGCGGGAAGAAGGCCUGCGGGUCGUAAACCGCUUUCAGCCGGGGACGAUGCGUCUCCGGGUGAACAGCUCGGGGACGUGACGUUACCCGCAGAAGAAGCGCCGGCUAACUCCGUGCCAGCAGCCGCGGUAAUACGGAGGGCGCGAGCGUUACUCGGAGUCACUGGGCGUAAAGCGUCCGUAGGCGGUCGGGUAAGUCGGGUGUGAAAGCCCCGGGCUUAACCUGGGAAGUGCACCCGAUACUGCUCGACUCGAGUGCGGGAGAGGAUGGCGGAAUUCCCUGGGGUAGCGGUGAAAUGCGUAGAUCUCGGGAGGAACACCAGUGGCGAAGGCGGCCAUCUGGCCCGUAACUGACGCUGAGGGACGAAAGCGUGGGGAGCAAACAGGAUUAGAUACUGUGGUAGUNCACGCCAUAAACAGAUGCUGGACUAGCUGUUGGGCCCGAUUGGGGUUCAGUGGCGAAGCUCACGCGUUAAGUCGGCCGCCUGGGGAGUACAGCCGCAAGGCUGAAACUCAAAUGAAUUGACGGGGGCCCGCACAAGCGGUGGAGCGUGUGGUUUAAUUCGAUGCAACGCGAAGAACCUUACCCACCCUUGACAUGCGCCGGAACCUCCCAGAGAUGGGAGGGUGCCCUUCGGGGAACCGGUGCACAGGUGCUGCAUGGCUGUCGUCAGCUCGUACCGUGAGGUGUCGGGUUAAGUCCCGUAACGAGCGCAACCCUUGCCCCUAGUUGCCAGCGGUUCGGCCGGGCACUCUAGGGGGACUGCCGGCGAUAAGCCGGAGGAAGGUGGGGAUGACGUCAAGUCAUCAUGGCCCUUAAGGGUGGGGCUACACACGCGCUACAAUGGCCGGUACAGAGGGUUGCGAAGCCGCGAGGCGGAGCCAAUCCCAGAAAGCCGGUCGUAGUCCGGAUUGCAGUCUGCAACUUGACUGCAUGAAGCCGGAAUCGCUAGUAAUCGCGGAUCAGCAACGCCGCGGUGAAUACGUUCCCGGGCCUUGUACACACCGCCCGUCACACCAUGGGAGUCGGCUGCAC
rnacentral:rRNA from 1 species